AUAUUUUAGCUGGUCAUGAAAUGUACUGCUAGGACAACUAUAUAAAAUACUUAACUCGCUCUCUCGUGAGCUAUAUGAUUAAGGCACAAUAUUUAACUGUGAAUACAAGAUAAAGCACUGAUCUGUUCCUUUCGUAUAUUCUAUUUAUCAGAAAUGAUAUAGUUUCCCUGAAAAACGUAUCGAUUGCAUUUCCUUUAAGUUACGAUACCACAUCGAUAUGAGGAUCUAUAGUUUCUGUUACGGCCGACAACUAUCAGUUUAAUAUCAUUCACGCACUGGCUUCUGCCAAUCUAAUAUAAAUCAGGAGUCUUCUUUCUUUCUGUUUGUAUCUUACCUACUAGUUAAAGUUCUUUUUCGGUUUACGCUGCAACUUGUCCAUUGCCUAAUUCAUUGUCGACCAGUGCCUGGCGAAAACGACGGCGUGCGUAGCGGCUUGCGUCGUCCAGGACCCUUCUUCAGGGCUGUUACAAGACGUCAGCCGCAAAAGACUCCCGAUGCUAGCAUAGAAGCUGUAUUAUAGGAGAAAGACAAUGAGCAGGUGAGAGAAGCACUGUUGGCCAACUACCCAGUUCCACAGUAGCAUUAGGCCACAGGCUGCCACCAAUAGUUUCCACCGAGGCAAACAACUGUAAUGGCAGGACGCUCGAAUAGAGCCCUCGACACUGGACGGACGGUACCGUAGAAACAACGGUGAGCGGUUACGUCGGCCGAGCACUUCCAUUAUCGACUUUAUAGCGCUGCCGCCCCCGCUGGCGCUAGCCACUGAGUCGUUGUAACGGCUGGUGGGCAGCAAAGCGAAAGCACAAAACUUCUUUCCCUGGUCGAUCCUUCCCUGUGUAACUGCCUAUCUGCGUAUGGAUAUACUUUUUGCGUCGGUGUAUCGAACCGCUCUUUCGGCACCUCUACUCACUCAUACACCGCUAACUCUCCGGUGGGUCCUCUCUGUCUCGUACUUUUUUUUUUUUUUGUAAAACAUCGGUUGCUCGAGAUCGGCGUACAAUCAGGCAAUGGCGUAAUGAACUGAACGUAGCAUACCGCUAGCCUUGUAUUUUGCUGGACACAGGACGGAAAGGCUCUACGGUGACAGUGCAGUGUAUUUCAGCAAGAAGGACUCGAGUAGCGGAACUUCACUUGAAUGUCGUCCUAGAUGUGCUAGUAGCAAAAGCUAAAGAAGAACCUUUCGUACAAGCGGUCUCUCGAAAAUCCCUAUCGUGUCAUGUCUUCUUGCCACGUUGGAUCGCAUACAAGCUGAGUAACAAUGACGCAAUCAGUUGGUAAAAGAGUUGCCACCUUCUCUUUGUUGGAAAGCCUACGGAGGUUGUCACGAACAUGCCCAACUACUC